GAUGAACGCUGGCGGCGUGCCUAAUACAUGCAAGUCGAGCGAACAGACUAGGAGCUUGCUCCUCUGACGUUAUCGGCGGACGUGUGAGUAACACGUGGAUCACCUACCUAUACGACUGGUAUCACUUCGGGAAACCGGAUCUUAUCCCGUAUAAUAUAUUGAACCGUAUGGUUCAAUUGUGAAAGACGGUUUUGCUGUCACUUCUUGAUGGUUCCUCGCCGAAUUUGCUAGUUGGUAAGGUAACUGCUUACCAAGGCAACGAUGCGUAGCCGACCUGAGAGGGUGAUCGGCAAAACUGGAACGGAGACACGGUCAAGACUCCUACGGGAGGAAGCAGUAGGGAAUCUUCCGAAAGGAGCGAAAGCCGGACGGAGAAACGCGGCGUGAAUGAGGAAGGUCUUCGGAUCGAAAAACUCUGUUAAUAGGGAAGAACAAAUGUGUAAGUAAAUAUGCACGUCUUGACGGUACCUAACCAGAAAGCCACGGCUAACUACGUG
rnacentral:rRNA from 1 species